rnacentral:rRNA from 1 species
CAAUAGCGUAUAUUAAAGUUGUUGCGGUUAAAAAGCUCGUAGUUGGAUUUCUGCUGAGAACGACCGGUCCGCCCUUUGGGUGUGUAUCUGGCUCUUUCUUGGCAUCUUCUUGGUGAACGUUGCUGCACUUGACUGUGUGGAGCGCUACCCAGGACUUUUACUUUGAAAAAAUUAGAGUGUUUCAAGCAGGCAAUGGCUCGAAUACAUUAGCAUGGAAUAAUGGAAUAGGACUUUUGUCCAUUUGAUUGGUUAUUGGACUUAGGUAAUGAUUAAAAGGGACAGUUGGGGGCAUUAGUAUUUAAUUGUCAGAGGUGAAAUUCUUGGAUUUAUUAAAGACUAACUUAUGCGAAAGCAUUUGCCAAGGAUGUUUUCAUUAA